rnacentral:piRNA from 1 species
UGGGAUUACAGAAUUGUACCAUCGCACCCG